GCCACACCCAGACUCCUGACCCACAGAAACUGUGAGAUAACAAAUGCGUGUUGUUUUAAGCUGCUGUUUUAAGCUGUUGUUUUAAGUUUGUGAUGACUUCGGUUUACAGGAAUAACCAGCAUGCGAUGCCGAGAAGGAGAUUCCUGCCUUGGAAGGAGAUCUGUCUUUCCCCCUUCCGGGGCCCACGGCGAAGACAAAAAGAGAACAUUUAUGAGUACCUGUGACAUGCAAUGCACUGCACCUCGUGCUGGGGGUGCAGGGCAAGGUGUCAACCCCCGAAGAGUGCUCAGACCUGUGGGGCAACAAGCCUGUAACCAAACCGAAGGCGUGGUGCUCCACAGAAGAGCGUGUGAAGAAUCCAACCUCUCCCGUCACCAGCACUUGCCAGAUCUUCGCUCAGUCAACUCUUCGGAUCUUUGCUGGGAGACCACAGGGUUUUCAACGUCAGCCUCCGGCCACCUCCUCGAUUUUGCCUGAGGCACUGGUUGGAGCCUUCCCCUGUGUGGCUCUCCACGGGGUCAGAACACCUGGGACUCAGUCCGUGAAGCAGGAUCCCACCAGGUGGAGGUGCAGGAGACAGUACUGAUGAGUGAGUACCUGGGAGCAACCCUCAGCCAGGUGUGCGCAGGCCAUUGGUGCACCACCGUAGCUUGUGCUGUCUGCCGGAGCUCCCAAGCGGGAUGGAGCGCCUGGCGAUCAUGGUGAUAAUUGUAUGAAUAAGGCAUUUUUAUUGGUUGCCUUCCUGUCCUCAUCUCCUGUCCCCACUCCUGGAUUCCUCUCCCAAUUCAAUGACUUGCAGUCAACUCCUCGUCUCAAAGUCUGCCUUCUGGGGAGCCCAGCUGUGGGCUGCACAGAUGAGAAAAUCCACCCAAAUGGACUCCAUGGCCAGGAAGUGAGUGAGCCCUUGAUGGAUAGCCAAGGUCCUUGUCUCUGUUAGAGUGGAUUGUGGCAAAAUUGGUGGUUAUCAGUCUGUUUUGAGGGGCCCAUCUCCCCACAAGGAGAAGUGAGCUAGAAGCAAAGACAGAGACCGCUUCAUUUUAGGACAGUUUCCUUCCUCUAUCCACAGCUCAGCAUCAGAUAGAAGCCUGGGGCGUUUAUCUGUUGAGCAUGGGACGCAGCUUGGACAGUGGUUUGCUUUCCUCUCUGAAAUGCACUUUUCCAAGGCCAAAUCGCAGAUAAGCAGCUUCCCCCUGGAGUACCCCUGUUUUAUGCGGGGUAGGGAGGGCCGUGGGUGCGAUUAUGCUGGUCUGGAAGCACACAUUGACUUUAGAUAGUCCACACAGUGCAUGCUCAGUGGAAAAUCGAGAGGUGUUGUGCAUCUUGAGUCACCACCCUCUCUCACCACAGGGUCAAUCAUGAGGGGAGGAAGGGGAGGCAGAGGGAGGAAUGGAACCUGAUGCUGUCGGUGAACCUGAACAUGGACAGAGUGUGGGGGGCUCAGUGGAGUCCACAGAAGCCCCCUCCCAGAAUAAGGAGGCUGCUGGCCGGAGCUGAGUGCAGGGAGGGAGGCAUCUUAUCAGCUCCCGGACCACACUUGCCGUCCUUCCCUCUGGAGGCACCACCCAUUUGCUGUGUGCCAGUAGCAGCAUCAUUGAGACCAGAUUAAAAAUGUCUGUGCCCUUUAAAGGUGGGAUGUUUUAUUUUUUUAUUUGA
rnacentral:lncRNA from 1 species